ACAAAGAAUGGGUAACAUAUCCCUGGGACUGCUUGGAAUGGAUGUAAAGACCUUAUACAAUAAUAGAAUAUGAUUCAGGUUGGAUAUCAGAAGAAAGUUUGUCUCAGAAAGAGUGAUGAUGCACUGGCACAGGCUGCCCAGAGAGGUGGUGGAGCCACAUAGAGUUGUUCAAGAGCCACAUGGAUGUGGCACUGAGGGACGUGGUCAGUGGGCAUGAUGGGGGCAGGUCGACAGUGGGAUUAGAGGAUCUUAGUGGUCUUUUCCAACCUUAAUGAUUCUAUGAUUCUGUGGUGAUAUCACACUGGAAAGGACUGCUGAGCCCAUCUCCUGGCUAUCCCUCUCACAGUAGAAGCAGGAGCUGCCCAUCUGUGGAUGAGCCUUGAAGGAUACAUGGAACACCCUGCUGCAAUCAAUGCCUUUCUUGCCAAAGGAACAACAGAGACCCUUGACAUCUGUGAGCAAACAAAGGCUUAUCCACGCUACAGCUAUAACCUGGGCUUUCACACACAGACUGAAGGAACAUAUUUGGUCAUCACCAGGAAAAGAAGCUGGAAGUGCUUUACUGGAGCUGUUUGUUUGGCAUUAGUAAGAUUAAACGUCAAAGGUUGAAAAGAGAAUGUAAAUGAACUGGGCACAAUCCUAACACUGGCUAAAGCUGCAGGAAGACCCCCAUUCAGACUCAGGAAUUUCUUUCUGAUGUACACCUUCCCUGUAGUCUCCCAGCUGAGGUCCAGAGAUGGGAAAAAAAUGUAGCAUGAAUAGCUGGGAGAAGCUCUAAGACAGACUUUGGACUGCCCAUGUUGAACCAGAAUGGCAGAUGUCCCUUAAGGUAUCAUCUCAACCACCUUCAUGACAGAAGGUCAUGUAGUUAAGCAUAUGCUGAGAAAAAAGUCAACACGAGAAGCUAAUUCAGGUGAGAGAAGGAAUCUGAAGGAGGCCACGUCAACUGCAGGAGCAAAAUGGGGUGCUCUGACACAGAAUGAAGAUGGGAGAUAGGAGGAACACGCUGAUUUAAAGGAAGCAUUGCUGAAGAUCAGCAUUCCCAGGGGUGAAAACCAAUAUGAGGACCUAAUGGAUGCGCUGCCAUUUGGCAAUAAAGACCAUUUUCCUGCCCA
rnacentral:lncRNA from 1 species